rnacentral:rRNA from 1 species
GAUGAACGCUGGCGGCGUGCCUAAUACAUGCAAGUCGAGCGAACGGACGAGAAGCUUGCUUUUCUGAUGUUAGCGGCGGACGGGUGAGUAACACGUGGAUAACCUACCUAUAAGACUGGGAUAACUUCGGGAAACCGGAGCUAAUACCGGAUAAUAUUUUGAACCGCAUGGUUCAAAAGUGAAAGACGGUCUUGCUGUCACUUAUAGAUGGAUCCGCGCUGCAUUAGCUAGUUGGUAAGGUAACGGCUUACCAAGGCAACGAUGCAUAGCCGACCUGAGAGGGUGAUCGGCCACACUGGAACUGAGACACGGUCCAGACUCCUACGGGAGGCAGCAGUAGGGAAUAUUGCGCAAUGGGCGAAAGCCUGACGGAGCAACGCCGCGUGAGUGAUGAAGGUCUUCGGAUCGUAAAACUCUGUUAUUAGGGAAGAAAAUAUGUGUAAGUAACUGUGCACAUCUUGACGGUACCUAAUCAGAAAGCCACGGCUAACUACGUG